rnacentral:tRNA from 1 species
GGGAAUGUGGCCUAGUGGUAAAGUGCUUGCCUAGCAUGCAUGAAGCCCUGGGUUUGAUUCCUCAUUACCA